rnacentral:rRNA from 1 species
AACGAACGCUGGCGGCAUGCCUAACACAUGCAAGUCGAACGAGACUUCGGGUCUAGUGGCGCACGGGUGCGUAACGCGUGGGAACUGCCCUUAGGUUCGGAAUAACUCAGAGAAAUUUGAGCUAAUACCGGAUAAUGUCUUCGGACCAAAGAUUUAUCGCCUUUGGAUGGGCCCGCGUAGGAUUAGGUAGUUGGUGGGGUAAAGGCCUACCAAGCCGACGAUCCUUAGCUGGUCUGAGAGGAUGAUCAGCCACACUGGGACUGAGACACGGCCCAGACUCCUACGGGAGGCAGCAGUGGGGAAUAUUGGACAAUGGGCGAAAGCCUGAUCCAGCAAUGCCGCGUGAGUGAUGAAGGCCUUAGGGUUGUAAAGCUCUUUUACCAGGGAUGAUAAUGACAGUACCUGAGAAUAAGCUCCGCUAA